CCUACGGGAGGCUGCAGUGGGGAAUAUUGCACAAUGGGGGAAACCCUGAUGCAGCGACGCCGCGUGAGUGAAGAAGUAUUUCGGUAUGUAAAGCUCUAUCAGCAGGGAAGAAAAUGACGGUACCUGAUUAAGAAGCCCCGGCUAACUACGUGCCAGCAGCCGCGGUAAUACGUAGGGGGCAAGCGUUAUCCGGAUUGUCUGGGUGUAAAGGGAGCGUAGACGGCUGCGCAAGUCUGAAGUGAAAUGCCGGGGCUUAACCCCGGAACUGCUGUUGAAACUGUGGAGCUAGAGUGCAGGAGAGGUAUGUGGAAUUCCUGGUGUAGCGGUGAAAUGCGUAGAUAUUACGAGGAACUCCAGUUGCGAAGGCAGCUUACUGGACUGUAACUGACGUUGAGGCUCGAAAGCGUGGGUAGCAAACAGGAUUAGAUACCCUUGUAGUC
rnacentral:rRNA from 1 species